rnacentral:rRNA from 1 species
AGUCGACGGACUCAUAUUGAAACCUAGUGAUUUAUGAGUUAGUGGCGUACGGGUGAGUAACGCGUGGAAAACCUGCCGUAUACCGGGGGAUAACACUUAGAAAUAGGUGCUAAUACCGCAUAAGCGCACAGCUUCGCAUGAAGCAGUGUGAAAAACUCCGGUGGUAUACGAUGGUUCCGCGUCUGAUUAGCUAGUUGGCGGGGUAACGGCCCACCAAGGCAGCGAUCAGUAGCCGGCCUGAGAGGGUGAACGGCCACAUUGGGACUGAGACACGGCCCAAACUCCUACGGGAGGCAGCAGUGGGGAAUAUUGCACAAUGGGGGAAACCCUGAUGCAGCGACGCCGCGUGAGUGAAGAAGUAUUUCGGUACGUAAAGCUCUAUCAGCAGGGAAGAAAAUGACGGUACCUGACUAAGAAGCCCCGGCUAACUACGUGCCAGCAGCCGCGGUAAUACGUAGGGGGCAAGCGUUAUCCGGAUUUACUGGGUGUAAAGGGAGCGUAGACGGCAGCGCAAGUCUGGAGUGAAAUGCCGGGGCUCAACCCCGGAACUGCUUUGGAAACUGUGCAGCUUGAGUGCGGGAGAGGUAAGUGGAAUUCCUAGUGUAGCGGUGAAAUGCGUAGAUAUUAGGAGGAACACCAGUGGCGAAGGCGGCUUACUGGACCGUAACUGACGUUGAGGCUCGAAAGCGUGGGGAGCAAACAGGAUUAGAUACUGGUAG